GCUGUAACUACAAUGGAUCAGGUACUUCAAGCAUCAUCACUUCCCUCAUCCAUGUCUGCCCAAGAAGCUGAACUGAAGGCUCUCACCACAGCAUGCAAAAUGUCUGAAGGAAAACGUGCCAAUAUCUACACUGAUUCAAGAUAUGCCUUAGGCGUGGCACAUGACUUUGGAUUAAUCUGGACGACAAGGGGUUUCCUUACAGCAACGGGUACACCAGUCAAACAUGGUACAG